rnacentral:rRNA from 1 species
CAGCCGCCACGGGAAUACAGAGGGUGCGAGCGUUAAUCGGAUUUACUGGGCGUAAAGCGUGCGUAGGCGGCUUCUUAAGUCGGAUGUGAAAUCCCUGAGCUUAACUUAGGAAUUGCAUUCGAUACUGGGAAGCUAGAGUAUGGGAGAGGAUGGUAGAAUUCCAGGUGUAGCGGUGAAAUGCGUAGAGAUCUGGAGGAAUACCGAUGGCGAAGGCAGCCAUCUGGCCUAAUACUGACGCUGAGGUACGAAAGCAUGGGGAGCAAACAGGAUUAGAGACCAGCGUAGUCCCUGUCUCUUAUAC